AUUACCUUGGACUCAAUUCAGUAAAAGAUUAGAAAGGGUAAUUAGUACAAUGCAGAUAUAGAAUAUGUCAAAUAGAUGUGGGGUCAAGCUUCAUUAUCCCCACCGAUAAGAUGUUCAUCUUCACCCGGCUUGAUUGAGAAAGUAAGGUAGUAAAGGGUUCAUCAGUAUAUAUAAGUGCAUUUGUAAUCAAGGAAUGUACAUGAAUGUGAUUCAAUGCUGCUGAACUAAUACAGAUGGGUCUAUGAACAAGAGUCUAUGGGCAUAGAUAUUAUCAAUUGAGAUUGAACUUUUAACCCACUUUUUGUUUUACCUGAGAACACACUCAAAGGACAAUUUAUGAAAGGAACGUCUGGAAUAUUGAGUUGAUCAGUAGGGGUUGGCAUACAUUCAUGAACGUCUGUUUCUUGAUUCUUAUGAAGUGAGUCAGGAUGAAGCAUUUGUAAUGAAGUACGGCAUAUGGAGAUCAUUCAGGUUUAAAUUCUGACAUUGCAGCUGCUCAGGAAGAUGAUUAAAAUUUUCAGGUGUUCUGAAUUUCCAGAUUGAGUCUAAUUACUUAAAAAUAGCUCAGACAUUUAUUCAUCAGCUUGAGGCUUGAGUUCUCAGACCCUGACAUAUGUCGUAGUCUUAGUAUACAGCCGAUUGGGCAUGAGUUCGAAGCCACUGGAUCAAACACGUGAACUAUUGAAUGAGUGAAUGUGGUCUAUGUAAUUGCAUGCAUAUAGGCGGGUGGGCCUGUGCGUGUGUGUGCUAGCAUGCAAAUGCAAGAUGUGACUUCCGGAAAUGAGACAAGAGAAACGAGUCAUAUUGCCAUUCUAUUUUUAGUCUGCUUAGAAGGUGCAAAGCACUGAGGGAAAUUAGUCAUUUGUAGAAAAUACAUGUGGAAUGGUGAGAAUGGGAGGGAGGUGAGAAUGGGAGGGAGUUGAGAAUGUGUCCAUAAUCAGGGAAUAAAGAGGCCUAACUACACAGCUUUUUUUCACCUACUGCUCACCUCAGGUUUCAGUUCUCUAAAUUUGAGACAACGGUGUUUUCAGACACCGUUGCAACCAAUUCUAGUGAAGGUUGUUCAGGCAGGUGCACUUGUGGGAAUUUAUGCAAAGAGGACCUCAGAAUAGCUGCUCAUCCUCAAAAUAGAAACAGGAAGUGUGGGACGGAGAUGAGUACUGCACUCUGUCGACAGGCAACUUAUACAAUUCUUCAGGAUUUUCUCUGAUUUUAAAAACAAAAUACUUCUACCUAGCUUAAAACAAUCUUUUAAAAACUUUGUGUGUGCAUGUAUAUUUGGGUAUACAUGUAUGUAUGUGUGUGGUGUAUGCACAUGUAUGUACAGGAGCCAGAAGCCAAAGUCAGGCACCCUUUUCUAUUGCUCUCCACUCUAUUCUGUUAAGAAAAGGUCUCUCAUUGAACCUGGAGCUAGGCUAGUGGGCAGCAAGCCAGUGAUGGAUCCUCCUGUCCCUGUCCCCCACUCCCCCACUGCUAGGGAUCUAUUUGCUCAUGUUCAACUUUUUACAAGGAUGUGGAGAAUGCAAACUCGGGUCCUCAUGCUUGCACAACAAGCACGCUCGCUUGCUAAGCAUGUUCUUAAUAUGUUUUACAAUGAAAGACACUGCUCGGGGAUUUCACCUCCAUGAAUGAUCAAUUCUGUUUGAACCUUGUUUGUCAAUCACAUAUCAUUUAUGCUCUUAUUCCUGAUUAGUACCUAUGUGCAUCUCCUCAAAUAAAUAUGUUCCAGUAUUA